rnacentral:rRNA from 1 species
AGCAAUACACCGCCAGUUAAGGUGCUGCAAUGGCUGUCGUCAGUUCGUGCCGUGAGGUGUUGGGUUAAGUCCCGCAACGAGCGCAACCCCCAUCACUAGUUGCCAUCAGGUAACGCUGGGAACUCUAGUGAAACUGCCGUCGUAAGACGCGAGGAAGGAGGGGAUGAUGUCAAGUCAUCAUGGCCUUUAUGCCCAGGGCUACACACGUGCUACAAUGGGAGGGACAAAGAGCUGCCACUUAGCGAUAAGGAGCCAAUCUCAAAAACCCUCUCUCAGUUCAGAUCGCAGUCUGCAACUCGACUGCGUGAAGCUGGAAUCGCUAGUAAUCGUAUAUCAGCAAUGAUAC